rnacentral:sRNA from 1 species
CGCUUGGUUGAAAAGCCAGUGGC